UACGUAGGGUGCAAGCGUUGUCCGGAAUUAUUGGGCGUAAAGAGCUCGUAGGCGGUUUGUUGCGUCGGCUGUGAAAUCCCGAGGCUCAACCUCGGGUCUGCAGUCGAUACGAGCAAACUAGAGUGUUGCAGGGGAGACUGGAAUUCCUGGUGAUAGCGGCUGAAUACGCAGAUAUCAGGAGGAACACCGGUGGCGAAGGCGGAUCUCUGGGCCAUACUGACGCUGAGGAGCGAAAGCGUGGGGAGCGAACAGG
rnacentral:rRNA from 1 species